rnacentral:rRNA from 1 species
GUAGGUACCUGCCCUCGGGUCUGGGAUAGCCAUGCUAACGCGUGGGUAAUACCAGAUAAUGUCUCCGGACCAAAGGUUUACCACCUGGGGAGGGGCCUGCGGCCUAUCAGCUUGUUGGCGAGGUAAUGGCUCACCAAGGCUAAAACGGGUAUGGGGCGUGAGAGCGUGCCCCCACUCACUGGGACUGAGAACUGCCCAGACACCUACGGGUGGCUGCAGUCGAGAAUCUUCGACAAUGGGCGCAAGCCUGACCGAGCGAUGCCGCGUGCGGGAUGAAGGCUUUCGGGUUGUAAACCGCUGUCGUAGGGGAGCAAGGCGUAAGCUUGAGCGAUCCUAGGAGGAAGGACCGGCUAAGUCUGUGCCAGCAGCCGCGGUAAUACAGACGGUCCAAACGUUAUUCGGAAUUACUGGGCUUAAAGAGUUCGUAGGCGGUCAAGAAAGUGGGGUGUGAAAGCCCUCGGCUCAACCGAGGAACUGCGCUCCAAACUACUUGACUU